rnacentral:rRNA from 1 species
AUGAACGCUGGCGGCGUGCCUAAUACAUGCCAGUCGCGCGAACAGACGAGGAGCUUGCUCCUCUGACGUUAGCGGCGGACGGGUGAGUAACACGUGGAUAACCUACCUAUAAGACUGGGAUAACUUCGGGAAACCGGAGCUAAUACCGGAUAAUAUAUUGAACCGCAUGGUUCAAUAGUGAAAGACGGUUUUGCUGUCACUUAUAGAUGGAUCCGCGCCGCAUUAGCUAGUUGGUAAGGUAACGGCUUACCAAGGCGACGAUGCGUAGCCGACCUGAGAGGGUGAUCGGCCACACUGGAACUGAGACACGGUCCAGACUCCUACGGGAGGCAGCAGUAGGGAAUCUUCCGCAAUGGGCGAAAGCCUGACGGAGCAACGCCGCGUGAGUGAUGAAGGUCCUCGGAUCGUAAAACUCUGUUAUUAGGGAAGAACAAAUGUGUAAGUAACUAUGCACGUCUUGACGGUACCUAAUCAGAAAGCCACGGCUAACUACGUG